AAAGCUCAAAAUGCUCCGACAGUGUUUAAUUUAUUAAAAAAAGAGGGGGGAAAUCUGGUUGAUUCCAGUAUUGCUACAUAAAAUUGAUUUUUUAAACAGAAGGAUUUGAUUCAGUGCAGGAAUAGCAUCUUAUGUAACGAGCUAGAAAAACUCAACAUAGAGUUGGAUCUAACAAGUACAACCAGACAUCAUUAUGAAGAUGUAUGGUAGCCUGUUAGACAGUGAUUUGAACAUAUCACUCCCUCUACCUCAGGCACUUUGCAUCAUCCAUUCCUGCACCCUCUUCAGAUAAGGAGCAGAUGGCAGACAAUGAAAUCCAAACCCUUUGCCCCAACACUGAAGGGCACAUCAGGCAGAGCUCCCUGUGGGUUUGGUUAAGAAUUUUGUUGUGAAAACAUUACUGCCCAACUUCUCCCCCUGCCUCUUCCUACUCACUUCCCUUCUAUUACCAGAGUCAAGUACUCCAUGAUAAACU